rnacentral:rRNA from 1 species
UACGGAGGGUGCAAGCGUUAUCCGGAUUCACUGGGUUUAAAGGGUGCGUAGGUGGGCUGGUAAGUCAGACGUGAAAUCCCCAGGCUCAACCUGGGAACUGCGUCUGAUACUGGAUGGCUUGAAUCCGGGAGAGGGAUGCAGAAUUCCAGGUGUAGCGGUGAAAUGCGUAGAUAUCUGGAGGAAUACCGGUGGCGAAGGCGGCAUCCUGGACCGGCAUUGACGCUGAGGAGCGAAAGCCAGGGGAGCAAACGGG